UACGAAGGGGGCUAGCGUUGCUCGGAAUCACUGGGCGUAAAGGGUGCGUAGGCGGGUCUUUAAGUCAGAGGGGAAAUCCUGGAGCUCAACUCCAGAACUGCCUUUGAUACUGAGGGUCUUGAGUAUGACAGAGGUGAGUGGAACUGCGAGUGUAGAGGUGAAAUUCGUAGAUAUUCGCAAGAACACCAGUGGCGAAGGCGGCUCACUGGGUCAUUACUGACGCUGAGGCACGAAAGCGUGGGGAGCAAACAGG
rnacentral:rRNA from 1 species